UACAGAGGUCCCAAGCGUUGUUCGGAUUCACUGGGCGUAAAGGGUGCGUAGGUGGUGAGGUAAGUCGGAUGUGAAAGCUCGGAGCUCAACUCCGAAAUGGCAUUGGAAACUACCUUGCUCGAGGGUUGGAGGGGGGACUGGAAUACUUGGUGUAGCAGUGAAAUGCGUAGAUAUCAGGAGGAACACCGGUGGCGAAGGCGGCUCUCUGGACGGUGACUGACGCUGAGACGCGAAAGCGUGGGGAGCAAACAGG
rnacentral:rRNA from 1 species